rnacentral:rRNA from 1 species
AUUCCAGCUCCAAUGGCGUAUAUUAAAGUUGUUGCAGUUAAAAAGCUCGUAGUUGGAUUUCUAGCAGGAGCGACCGGCCGGCCCAUUGUGGUGUGUACUAGUGUUGCAUCUGGCCAUAUUUGUGGAGAGCGUGUGUGGCAUUAAUUUGUCGUGCUCGGGACCCGCAUCGUUUACUGUGAGAAAAUUAGAGUGUUCAAAGCAGGCUUAUGCCUUGGAUAUGUUAGCAUGGAAUAAUAAGAUAAGACUUUGGCGGUCUAUUUUGUUGGUUUGCACGCCAUUGUAAUGAUUGAUAGGGACAGUUGGGGGUAUUCAUAUUUAAUUGUCAGAGGUGAAAUUCUUGGAUUUAUGAAAGAUGAACUACUGCGAAAGCAUUUACCAAGGAUGUUUUCAUUA